rnacentral:rRNA from 1 species
CCUACGGGUGGCAGCAGUAGGGAAUAUUGCUCAAUGGGGGAAACCCUGAAGCAGCAACGCCGCGUGGAGGAUGAAGGUUUUCGGAUUGUAAACUCCUUUUGUUAGAGAAGAUAAUGACGGUAUCUAACGAAUAAGCACCGGCUAACUCCGUGCCAGCAGCCGCGGUAAUACGGAGGGUGCAAGCGUUACUCGGAAUCACUGGGCGUAAAGAGCUCGUAGGCGGGAUAGCAAGUCAGAUGUGAAAUCCUAUGGCUUAACCAUAGAACUGCAUUUGAAACUGUUAUUCUAGAGAAUGGGAGAGGUAGGUGGAAUUCUUGGUGUAGGAGUAAAAUCCGUAGAGAUCAAGAGGAAUACUCAUUGCGAAGGCGACCUGCUGGAACAUUACUGACGCUGAUGCACGAAAGCGUGGGGAGCAAACAGGAUUAGAUACCCGAGUAGUC